UCUCCGUAGGUGAACCUGCGGAGGGAUCAUUACCGAGUUCUCGCCCUCGCGGGUACAUCUCCCACCCACUUUUAUCGUUACUGUCGUUUCUUUCGCUGGCCGCCGGGUCCCCCGCCGCCGGCCUCUAAUAGGCGGCGCCCGCCCUCCAUAGGCCUUCGCCCCCUGCCUGUUAGUCUCGUCUGAGUACUCUCUCAUAGUUAAAACUUUCAACCACGGAUCCCUUGUUUCCGGCAUCGGUGCAGAACGCCGCAGAUCGGAAUACCACACCUGAACUCCAGC
rnacentral:misc_RNA from 1 species